rnacentral:rRNA from 1 species
UUGACCUCGGAUCAGGUAGGGAUACCCGCUGAACUUAAGCAUAUCAAUAAGCGGAGGAAAAGAAACCAACAGGGAUUGCCCCAGUAACGGCGAGUGAAGCGGCAAGAGCUCAAAUUUGAAAGCUGGCUCCUUCGGGGUCCGCAUUGUAAUUUGCAGAGGAUGUUUCGGGAGCGGCUCCCAUCUAAGUGCCCUGGAACGGGCCGUCAUAGAGGGUGAGAAUCCCGUAUGGGAUGGGGUGUCCGCGCCCGUGUGAAACUCCUUCGACGAGUCGAGUUGUUUGGGAAUGCAGCUCUAAAUGGGUGGUAAAUUUCAUCUAAAGCUAAAUAUUGGCCGGAGACCGAUAGCGCACAAGUAGAGUGAUCGAAAGAUGAAAAGCACUUUGAAAAGAGAGUUAAAAAGCACGUGAAAUUGUUGAAAGGGAAGCGUUUGCGACCAGACUCGCCGACGGGGUUCAGCCUGCCUUCGGGCAGGUGUACUUCCCCGCCGGCGGGCCAGCGUCGGUUUGGGCGGCCGGUCAAAGGCCCUGGGAAUGUAACGCCUCUCGGGGCGUCUUAUAGCCCAGGGUGUCAUGCGGCCUGCCCGGACCGAGGAACGCGCUUCGGCUCGGACGCUGGCAUAAUGGUCGUAAACGACC